AUUGAACGCUGUCGACAGGCCUAACACAUGCAAGUCGAGCGGAGCGGCGGACGGGUGCUUAUUGCCAAGGUAUAUGCCAGGUAGUGGGGGAUAAUGUACGGAAACGGGCGCUAAUACCGCAACCUAUCAGAAGAGGGUAUGUCGGAUUGGGUAGUUGGUGGGGUAAAGGCCUACCAAGGCGACGAUCCGUACCUGGUCCGAGAGGAUGAUCAGUCACACUGGAACUGAGACACGGUCCAGACUCCUACGGGAGGCAGCAGUGGGGAAUAUUGGACAAUGGGCGAAAGCCUGAUCCAGCCAUGCCGCGUGUGUGAAGAAGGUCUUCGGAUUGUAAAGCACUUUAAGUUGGGAGGCGUUACCAGCAGAAUAAGCACCGGCUAACUUCGUGCCAGCAGCCGCGGUAAUAC
rnacentral:rRNA from 1 species